CAGCAGCCACGGGAACACGGAGGGAGCUAGCGUUAUUCGGAAUUACUGGGCGUAAAGCGCACGUAGGCGGCUUUGUAGGUUAGAGGUGAAAGCCCGGAGCUCAACUCCAGAAUUGCCUUUAAGACUGCAUCGCUUGAAUCCAGGAGAGGUGAGUGGAAUUCCGAGUGUAGAGGUGAAAUUCGUAGAUAUUCGGAAGAACACCAGUGGCGAAGGCGGCUCACUGGACUGGUAUUGACGUUGAGGUGCGAAAGCGUGGGGAGCAAACAGGAUUAGAUACCCGAGUAGUCCCUGUCUCUUAUAC
rnacentral:rRNA from 1 species